AUUGAACGCUGGCGGCAUGCUUUACACAUGCAAGUCGAACGGCAGCGCGGGCUUCGGCCUGGCGGCGAGUGGCGAACGGGUGAGUAAUGCAUCGGAACGUGCCCAGUAGUAGGGGAUAGCCCGGCGAAAGCCGGAUUAAUACCGCAUACGACCUGAGCCUGAAAGCGGGGGACCGAAAGGCCUCGCGCUAUUGGAGCGGCCGAUGUCGGAUUAGCUAGUUGGUGGGGUAAAGGCUUACCAAGGCGACGAUCCGUAGCUGGUCUGAGAGGACGACCAGCCACACUGGGACUGAGACACGGCCCAGACUCCUACGGGAGGCAGCAGUGGGGAAUUUUGGACAAUGGGGGCAACCCUGAUCCAGCCAUGCCGCGUGCGGGAAGAAGGCCUUCGGGUUCUAAACCGCUUUUGUUCGGGAAGAAAUCCUCUGGGCUAAUACCCCGGGGGGAUGACGGUACCGGAAGAAUAAGCACCGGCUAACUACGUG
rnacentral:rRNA from 1 species